rnacentral:rRNA from 1 species
CUAAGAAUAUUCCGCAAUGGACGGAAGUCUGACGGAGCGACGCCGCGUGGAUGACGAAGGCCGAAAGGUUGUAAAGUUCUUUUGCUGGGGAAGAAUAACCGCAGGAGGGAAUGCCUGUGGGAUGACAAGAACCGGCGAAUAAGCCCCGGCCAACUACGUGCCAGCAGCCGCGGUAACACGUAGGGGGCGAGCGUUGUUCGGAAUUACUGGGCGUAAAGGGCAUGUAGGCGGCUUGGAAAGCCUGGCGUGAAAGUCUGCAGCUUAACUGCAGGUGUGCGCUGGGAACUGCUGAGCUUGAGUGACGGAGAGCGAGCUGGAAUUCCUGGUGUAGGGGUGGAAUCUGUAGAUAUCAGGAAGAACACCGAUGGCGAAGGCAAGCUCCUGGCCGAUGACUGACGCUGAGGUGCGAAAGUGUGGGGAUCAAA